CGGGUCAAGGGGAGGAGUUGUCGGCCGUUGACUCGAUGGAGAGGAGGAGAUCGGCGAUUGAUCUUGUGUUCCAGUUUCAUGCUUGAAUGGGAGAAAGAGGACAAGCUUCAAUUGAGGGUUUGCAUUCUCAGCUUAAGGGCAGGCUUGGGAACAGACAGAUGUAUGCCUUUCAGACACAAAAAAAAACUAUUUACGUACAACUUAUGCAACCGACAGCAAUGUAAAAUUAAACUCUGGCCGGUUACGUAUCAGUAUUGUUUGAAACUCUAAACGACAAUUGAAUUAUACAUCAUCGUAUAUAGAUGGAAGUCAUAGUUGACGGUAAAUUAAUUAUCGGCAGGAUCAUGUCAGUUUUUCUA